rnacentral:tRNA from 1 species
GGCUCUGUAGCUCAGCUGGUUAGAGCGCACGCCUGAUAAGCGUGAGGUCGGUGGUUCGAGUCCACUCAGGCCACCA